CGCCUCUGCAAACAGAUCCACUUUCUUUCUUUCUUUGCAAGGAGGUUUGCUGGGCUUCUGCUUGUUCUUAGACUUGCAAAAGAGACCCAACGUGGUGCGAGUUUUGCACGGGAGAGUAGAGUUGGACGGUCAGCUGGGGUUUCCGUAGGUCAUACAGCAGCAUGCUCCUAUGUCCAGGGCUGA
rnacentral:lncRNA from 1 species